rnacentral:rRNA from 1 species
UGGAUAACUGUAAUAACUCUAGAGCUAAUACAUGCCUCGAUGCCCUGACCCUCACGGGGAUGGGUGCACUUAUUAGAUCAGAAGCCAACCGUGUUCAGCCGUGGCGACAUGGCUGGGCGCGUUGACCUUCUGGUGACUCUGGAUAAUUGUUACAGAUCGCAGUCGGCCUUGAGUCGGCGACGGGUCCUUCAAAUGUCUGCCCUAUCAACUUUCGAUGGUAGGUGACCUGCCUACCAUGGUGAUAACGGGUAACGGGGAAUCAGGGUUCGAUUCCGGAUAGGGAGCCUGAGAAACGGCUACCACUUCCAAGGGAGGCAGCAGGCGCGCAAAUUACCCACUCCCAGUACGGGGAGGUGGUGACGAAAAAUACCGAUGCGGGACUCCUUAAAGAGGCUCCGUAAUCGGAAUGAGUGGACUAUAAAUCCUUUCACGAGGAUCAAUUGGAGGGCAAGUCUGGUGCCAGCAGCCGCGGUAACUCCAGCUCCAAUAGCGUAUAUUAAAGUUGCUGCAGUUAAAAAGCUCGUAGUUGGAUCUCGGUAGCGCUGUUGCCUGUUGGUCUUUGGGUGGAUGGUUGCCGUACCUAUCGUCGUUGUCGUUGGCGGUGCAUGGGCGUGGCCCGUGUUACUGCAGAUGCGGCGUUGGCUGCGGCGGCAGCUGUGCAUUCCAAG